UGUAAAUCUGAUAUCGUCGCCAUAGCUUCGAUUGUCGACACACAAAGAAUUCAAGCCCGAGGUCAGCGCCUUGGGCUUU
rfam:Klebsiella pneumoniae ISC21, WGS project CBWQ01000000 data, contig: c50